UUUUUCUUGCUUUUGAACAAUUUUCGUCACAACAACAGCUUUCUUUUCAAAACUAUCUUUAAAGGGAGAGAUGUCAAAAGUUUGCUUCAAACACGUGCGUCGCAAAGAUGUAAAUAAAUUCUGUAUGUGACAUUUAUAGCGGAAGCCAUUUGACCAUAUCCUUUUGUGAAACAGUUCAAUCAACACCUUUAUUAAUUAGUCCUUUGUUGUCGAUAGCUAUAAAAUGCAAUCAGCUGAUUAUUGAUUUUCUGUCUAAAUCUUAAUGAGGUCAAGGUGAAUUCCGAGUAUUGUCUGAUCGGGUAAAGUCCGAGAAACUCGAAAAAAGUAAAUAAACAAGAUGGAGGAAAAUAAAUCGGUUUAUAGAUUUCUUUCGCCAAAUUCUUUCGCAAAUGACGAAUUUUUAUCGCCACAAUUAUUAUUUUUUCACAAAUUGCGAAAAUGGCGACCGCCAGCGGAAACCCUGGUCAGAA
rnacentral:lncRNA from 1 species